AGAAUCAACGCUGGCGGCGUGCCUAACACAUGCAAGUCGAACGAGAAAGUGGAGCAAUCCACGAGUAAAGUGGCGCACGGGUGAGUAACACGUGACUAACCUACCCUUGAGUGGGGGAUAACCUAGGGAAAACCUGGGCUAAUACCGCAUAAUACCUACGGGUCAAAGGAGCAAUUCGCUUAAGCGAGGGGGUCGCGGCCGAUUAGUUAGUUGGCGGGGUAAUGGCCCACCAAGACGAUGAUCGGUAUCCGGCCUGAGAGGGCGCACGGACACACUGGAACUGAAACACGGUCCAGACUCCUACGGGAGGCAGCAGUGGGGAAUUUUGCGCAAUGGGGGAAACCCUGACGCAGCAACGCCGCGUGGAGGAUGAAGUCCCUAGGGAUGUAAACUCCUUUCGAUCGGACGAUUAUGACGGUACCGGAAGAAGAAGCCCCGGCUAACUUCGCGCCAGCAGCCGC
rnacentral:rRNA from 1 species